rnacentral:rRNA from 1 species
AGAGUUUGAUCAUGGCUCAGAACGAACGCUGGCGGCGUGGAUUAGGCAUGCAAGUCGAGCGAUCCUACGGGAUAGCGGCAAAAGGGUAAGUAAUGUAUGGGCAAUCUGCCUCUAAGCCAGGGAUAACCUUGCGAAAGCAGGGCUAAUACCUGAUGUGACCACUCCUUCGCAUGGAGGAGCGGUAAAAGGUGGCGGACGCUUGCGGCUACCACUAAGAGAGGAGCCCAUAUUCUAUCAGCUAGUUGGUGAGGUAACGGCCCACCAAGGCGAAGACGGAUAGCUGGCCUGAGAGGGUGGCCAGUCACAUUGGGACUGAGACACUGCCCAGACUCCUACGGGAGGCUGCAGUCGAGGAUCUUUUGCAAUGGGGGAAACCCUGACAAUGCGACGCCGCGUGAGCGAUGAAGGCCUUCGGGUUGUAAAGCUCUGUUUUUCGGGAAGAAAUGCCUGAGGUAAAUAAUCUCGGGAGUUGACGGUACCGGAAGAGGAAGCCACGGCUAACUCCGUGCCAGCAGCCGCGGUAAUACGGAGGUGGCAAGCGUUGUUCGGAUUUAUUGGGUGUAAAGGGCAUGUAGGUGGUUUGGAAAGUCGAAUGUGAAAUCCUCUGGCUCAACCAUAGAAUUGCAUUCGAAACUAUCAGACUUGAGUUCAGGAGAGGAAAGCGGAAUUCCCGGUGUAAGAGUGAAAUCUGUAGAGAUCGGGAGGAACACCAGUGGCGAAGGCGGCUUUCUGGACUGAUACUGACACUGAAAUGCGAAAGCUAGGGGAGCAAACAGGAUUAGAUACCCUAGUAGUCC